AAUUGUACCUUCAGCAUUGAACAAACAUCACAUUGGCGGAAAUUCUCAAACAUCAGCUUUCGUAGGCCUUGAUCAAGAUAAGGCUGCACCCUCCACGAGUACAAGCUUCCUGGAGACUGGCAGACCUCACAAUUUGAAUACUAACAAGGCAGUUUCCAAUCGGGAUGUGCAUGGCUUAUGUUCUGAGUUAUCAUCCGUUAACAUCAACAAUAAUCUUAAAGAUUCAUAUUUCACUCGGGAUUCAGACAAGUUACUUUUUUCUCCUAACUCAAUUAAUUCCUCUCUAGGGAAGCAUUUUCCUCAAGAUAGUGAGUAUUGUAAAGAUCAUUCAACCACACCAGCUUUUUGGGAAGAUAUAAUUGUGGAUGAUAUGCUAAAUAAAGACUUUGAUCAACAACAGUUCUGCAAAGGCACUAACAAUUUAGCAUCCGGGCAUCAUUCACCUCAUUAUCUUCAGAAUCCAAACCAAUCAAACCAUGAACUGAAGCAUCAAAAUCAAAUUUGUAACCAGAAUCAUUUAAGGAAACCUUCUGAAACUUUUACUGAACCCUUGGGGGCAAGAUUUGAGAAGGUUGUGGAGAGAGAGGACACUGGUUUAGAUGUUGAUAACAAGGUUGCUUCAGACAUCGGAGAAAACAACAUUAUAUCUAACAUUUUGUCUUUGGAACUAGAUGCAUGGGAAGAUUCACUAGUUAAGUUGUUGGAUGAAACUGAUACAGCCUUCAAAGCACCUGCUUUGCGGAAAAUCCAAGACAAGAAUCAGUCCAGGUUUUCCUUUGCCAGACAAGAUGAUUCCUUGAAUAAGACAUCUGUUUUGCAGCAAUCUGGGAUCCCAAACAAUUAAGCAGCGGAAAAUCCAAGACAAGAAUCAGUCCAGGUUUUCCUUUGCCAGACAAGAUGAUUCCUUGAAUAAGACAUCUGUUUUGCAGCAAUCUGGGAUCCCAAACAAUUAAGCCUAAUACGGAACUCUCAUUGGCUGCAAAAGAAGGUCUUGGACUUAGCAUUGGAGGUGAUGUUAGCAAACAAAUUGUUC
rnacentral:lncRNA from 1 species